rnacentral:miRNA from 1 species
GUGAGUAGGGGCUGGGGGAGAGCAUGGGCUGGGGUUCAGGGACACCCUCUCAGCACUGCCCUCCCCCAG